GUCGCUUUGGCCGAGUGGUUAAGGCGUGUGCCUCAUGGGGUUUCCCCGCGAGUGUUCGAAUCUCUCAGGCGACG
rnacentral:tRNA from 1 species